rnacentral:rRNA from 1 species
UACGUAGGGUGCGAGCGUUGUCCGGAAUUACUGGGCGUAAAGAGCUCGUAGGUGGUUUGUCGCGUUGUUCGUGAAAACUCACAGCUUAACUGUGGGCGUGCGGGCGAUACGGGCAGACUGGAGUACUGCAGGGGAGACUGGAAUUCCUGGUGUAGCGGUGGAAUGCGCAGAUAUCAGGAGGAACACCGGUGGCGAAGGCGGGGUCUCUGGGGCAAGUAACUGACGCUGAGGAGCGAAAAGCGUGGGGGAGCGAACAGG